ACCCUGACCGUUACCGGUUUGCCAGUAUCAAACCCUGCUUCCCUGAGCCAGUUGCCCUUGAGGUGCAGGCUGGGGCUGCGCGAAUAAUAGGUGGCGGUAACAUCUCUGCGGCUCUCAUGGCGGAUACUG
rnacentral:sRNA from 1 species